GAUGAACGCUGGCGGCGUGCCUAAUACAUGCAAGUCGAGCGAACAGACGAGGAGCUUGCUCCUUUGACGUUAGCGGCGGACGGGUGAGUAACACGUGGGUAACCUACCUAUAAGACUGGGAUAACUUCGGGAAACCGGAGCUAAUACCGGAUAAUAUUUCGAACCGCAUGGUUCGAUAGUAAAAGAUGGCUCUGCUAUCACUUAUAGAUGGACCUGCGCCGUAUUAGCUAGUUGGUAAGGUAACGGCUUACCAAGGCAACGAUACGUAGCCGACCUGAGAGGGUGAUCGGCCACACUGGAACUGAGACACGGUCCAGACUCCUACGGGAGGCAGCAGUAGGGAAUCUUCCGCAAUGGGCGAAAGCCUGACGGAGCAACGCCGCGUGAGUGAUGAAGGUCUUCGGAUCGUAAAACUCUGUUAUUAGGGAAGAACAAACGUGUAAGUAACUGUGCACGUCUUGACGGUACCUAAUCAGAAAGCCACGGCUAACUACGUG
rnacentral:rRNA from 1 species